GACGAACGCUGGCGGCGUGCCUAAUACAUGCAAGUUGAGCGCUGAAGGUUGGUACUUGUACCAACUGGAUGAGCAGCGAACGGGUGAGUAACGCGUGGGGAAUCUGCCUUCGAGCGGGGGACAACAUUUGGAAACGAAUGCUAAUACCGCAUAAAAACUUUAAACACAAGUUUUAAGUUUGAAAGAUGCAAUUGCAUCACUCAAAGAUGAUCCCGCGUUGUAUUAGCUAGUUGGUGAGGUAAAGGCUCACCAAGGCGAUGAUACAUAGCCGACCUGAGAGGGUGAUCGGCCACAUUGGGACUGAGACACGGCCCAAACUCCUACGGGAGGCAGCAGUAGGGAAUCUUCGGCAAUGGACGAAAGUCUGACCGAGCAACGCCGCGUGAGUGAAGAAGGUUUUCGGAUCGUAAAACUCGGUUGGUAGAGAAGAACGUUGGUGAGAGUGGAAAGCUCAUCAAGUGACGGUAACUACCCAGAAAGGGACGGCUAACUACGUG
rnacentral:rRNA from 1 species